AUGCACGCUGGCGGCGUGCCUAAUACAUGCAAGUCGAGCGAACAGACGAGGAGCUUGCUCCUCUGACGUUAGCGGCGGACGGGUGAGUAACACGUGGAUAACCUACCUAUAAGACUGGGAUAACUUCGGGAAACCGGAGCUAAUACCGGAUAAUAUAUUGAACCGCAUGGUUCAAUAGUGAAAGACGGUUUUGCUGUCACUUAUAGAUGGAUCCGCGCCGCAUUAGCUAGUUGGUAAGGUAACGGCUUACCAAGGCAACGAUGCGUAGCCGACCUGAGAGGGUGAUCGGCCACACUGGAACUGAGACACGGUCCAGGCUCCUACGGGAGGCAGCAGUAGGGAAUCUUCCGCAAUGGGCGAAAGCCUGACGGAGCAACGCCGCGUGAGUGAUGAAGGUCUUCGGAUCGUAAAACUCUGUUAUUAGGGAAGAACAAAUGUGUAAGUAACUAUGCACGUCUUGACGGUACCUAAUCAGAAAGCCACGGCUAACUACGUG
rnacentral:rRNA from 1 species